rnacentral:lncRNA from 7 species
CAGGGAGGAAACCCAAGGCACAGAGGAGGAGGUGAGAUACUGAGAACUGCUCCAGCAAACCAGGAAAAGAGGUCCACCAGGCAUUCCACGUGCCAGCCUGGGCUCCCUCCCUACUGUAUGGCAGCAUCACUCACAGAAAUGAUAAGGCUAAAGGAGCAAGAGGAAAGGUUGUCCAGCACCGAGCAGCUAACGGCCCUUCGUGGACUCAGACCAUCAAAGAGAAGACUACAGAAUGGGGACAGGCAUUCUUUCCAUUCCUGUCUGUCAGUGAAUAUGAGGAAAUGAGAGCAUGGGCCAGACCUCACUCCAGACGCAGAAAUGGGUGUACAUUGCUAUUCAGGCUUGAAUCGAGGUACCUUUGCUCCAGCAGCCUGCCUCCUACCACAAGCACUUCUGGAGGCUAUACAAGAACUCUGCUACAUGUAAAUAUAAGGUAAUUCACUUUCCACAGUUGGCCUUAUCUCCAUCUCUAAUAGAUCAUGACUUAAAUCUGGAAGUACAGAAGCUUAAUAAUUAAAAAUGUUCUCAGAGCUAAAUUAAAAAACAAACAAACAAACAAGCAGAAAAAUGGAAAUUUUAGCAUUGAGAUAAAUAAUCAAAGUGAUUUUGGCAUUUGUUUAACUUUUGAUAGCAGAAAACACCAAUCAGCUUGGGUCCUUGGACCCAUAACCAUCCUUUUCCUGUAGGUUCCAUUGCCUCGCUACUUGCUGUUAUAGCAACAGACACUUUGCAUAUUCAGUUAACAUUAUUUGGUUAUAAAAUGCAAUAAGCUAUUACUUCACCACUGCAGGUUUUGCUACUAGUAAGCCUCAACUUUCCACAGCCAAAAGAUUUACUGGAAGAUUCCUUUCUAAAAAGCUUACCUAAACGAACAAAGCACUUCUAGCUUGCAUUUGAUAUGUCAAUGGAAUGUGGUAUUCUUCACAAAAUCAGGUUAAUCUGAGACAGUUCAUGAGUUGUUUGAGCUGUGAUCCCCCUCCUCAGAGUAGUGACAUGGAAAGGGACUGGGUAUUCCUGAAACCCUGAUAGAAGUUGUACAUAGAGGAAAUGCUGCAUUUCCUUUGUUCUUUAUAUGUUCUAUAAAUAUUUAAUGUGUUUGUUAAAGCUAUGUUAUUUCUGGAAGCAUGCCUACUCUCUUGUUUAAUUUUUCCUGAAUCCUUCAUGGCUGCAGAUAGCUUGGGAUACACAGAGAUUUAGCAUUCAAUAUUUAUGCUCUUGCUAAUGGACACCACAUGAAGAUUGGGAAUGUAAACGGGUUGCAAGGAACAGAGAGGGAAAUUUUUAGCACAUCUAAAAAAGGACUGGGCUUAGAGUCCUUCGGGUGAAAGACAUUUCUAUUACUCAUACUUAUGACUUUCCAUCCUUCUCACAGAAAAAAAAAGAAUGAGAAAGGUCAUCAGAGCUUCCUAAGCCUGAUCAGAUAUCAGAACGGUCCUGCUGAGUUUUGCAUCCUGACACUUUGAAUUAUGGCAAAAGAAUUUUUAGCAACAUGCUCUUCUUUUUCCAUCUUUUUAUAUUCAUUUAUCACAGCUAGUGAUUGUUCCUGGCUUCUUUUGAUCAUAGCCAACUUCUUUCCCUUUGGAGAAAGUAUUUCUUAAUACGAAAAUGUUAUCCUUUCACUUCUGCGAUUAAAUAUAACCACUUUGUUUCCAUUUUCUUGCUAUAAUGCUCCUAACACAUUCACCCUGCCCAGCUCUGAAGGAACAGCUGUAAUAUUUUGUCUAUGGCAAUAUAUGCAAGAAAGAUGCAAAAAUGUCAGGCAGCACAAGAAAUAAAACCUUUUCUAUAAAUAUAC